rnacentral:misc_RNA from 1 species
GUUCUGAUGAGUUUAGGCCCUUCAUACGCCGACUUCCGGAGUUCAAGUUUUGGUACGCCAUCACCAAAGCUUUUUGUAUUGCAUUCCUCAUGACCUUCUUCUCACUCUUUGAUGUUCCGGUUUUCUGGCCCAUUCUUCUUUGCUAUUGGAUUGUUCUAUUUGUCCUGACAAUGAAGCGCCAGAUCAUGCACAUGAUAAAAUACAAAUAUAUCCCUUUCAGCAUUGGAAAACAGAGAUAUACGGGAAAGAGGUCUUCCGCAAGUAGCAAUGGCGUUUCAAGAGACUAAGUUUCAUCAUUUCCCCUCUGGUUAGUAUUAGACAGAAGUGUGCAGCAUUCCAACUCUUCUUUCAGUUUUCUUAUUGCUUCUUGUCAGACAAGUACCAAAUCAGGACACUGGUCGAAGAGAAACAGCUUUUAUGGUGGUAAUAUGGAUAUUGUAAUAGGUUUCUCUCAAUUCUGUGUUAACCACAAUACAUCCUAUACUUAGUUUUUCUUCUUGUGUUUGUUUUUGUUUAGGACAUUUAGGCUCUAUUACU